UGAACACAACUGGCAGAAGCAGGAGCUUCUGCCCAAAGCUGUGAGUUCUUCAUAACCAGUUCACUGUCUGUUGGUGAAGCUGCUCGCAAUUGACAUAACCCUGUCUAUGAAGUGCAGACUGCUGGCUAUUUUUCUUGGUUCUAGGAGUAGAAAAGAGGGACCCUCGGUGGUGUGGGCCUGACCGAUGUUGACUGGAAAGAGGGCGCUAAAGCAAGGACUUGGAGCACGACACCUUUCACUGAAGCCAGGUGCUGCUCAUAUACUGUACUUUAUGGCAAAUCCCCUUUGACACUAUCUGACUCACAGAUCAUCCAACCACCAUUAGGGCUGCUGAGGACUGAGGUAGCCUCCAGGCUCUUGGCUUAAAUAUCAAAUGGCAACAAACUCUCAAGACAUCUGUCCUCCCCUCUCUGUUUGAUCAGUAUAGCUUAACUUUAUUCACUUCAUAUUAUGCUGCCUGGUCAAACUAAUGAUACAAGGAUGCUGUCUGAGUUAGAUCAUUUAAAAUUGGAGAAUGCUGAUGAACGGUAAAAAUUAGGUUUACUGCAGUCAUUCAGAACAUUCUGAUUGUUCACUCAUUGAUUGAUUGACUGAUUAUAUGGAUAUAGAGGACACAGAGAUAACACAGAACAAAGAGUAAACUCUUAUUUCAAACAUGGUCCCUGAUGUCAUGACAGGAGGCUGUUUCAGAAAGCAGGUUUAACAAAUUCCCAACAAAAUUGAUGAGCUGUGAGAUGGAAAACAGCUGAUCAGAGUCAGUUUAAUAAACUCUGAGAAUGGUUACUCUGAGUGAAGCUCGUGCAUGUUGAAUUAAAAAAGCCCUCAUCAAUGGCGCUCCAAUACGAUGAUUCACCAUGGCAGCAGGUCAGUAAAACGCAGAGCCUCCAUUUUAAUCCAGUGGACACAGAGAUAUUAAUGUAUGAAUGAGGACUGUGCACAUUUCUCUUAAAAAAAAGU